rnacentral:rRNA from 1 species
CAGCCGCCGCGGUAACACGGAGGGGGCUAGCGUUGUUCGGAAUUACUGGGCGUAAAGCGCACGUAGGCGGAUCAGUCAGUCAGGGGUGAAAUCCCGGGGCUCAACCCCGGAACUGCCUUUGAUACUGCUGGUCUUGAGGUCGAGAGAGGUGAGUGGAAUUCCGAGUGUAGAGGUGAAAUUCGUAGAUAUUCGGAGGAACACCAGUGGCGAAGGCGGCUCACUGGCUCGAUACUGACGCUGAGGUGCGAAAGCGUGGGGAGCAGACAGGAUUAGAUACCCGGGUAGUCCCUGUCUCUUAUAC